rnacentral:rRNA from 1 species
UACAGAGGGUGCGAGCGUUGUUCGGAUUUACUGGGCGUAAAGGGCGCGUAGGCGGCCACUGCAAGUCGGUUGUGAAAUCUCCGGGCUUAACCCGGAAAGGUCAAUCGAUACUGCAGGGCUAGAGUGCAGAAGGGGCAACUGGAAUUCUCGGUGUAGCGGUGAAAUGCGUAGAUAUCGAGAGGAACACCUGCGGCGAAGGCGGGUUGCUGGGCUGACACUGACGCUGAAGCGCGAAAGCUAGGGGAGCGAACGGG